UACGGGGGGGGGCAAGCGUUGCUCGGAAUCACUGGGCGUAAAGCGCACGUAGGCGGACUCUUAAGUCGGUGGUGAAAUCCUGGAGCUCAACUCCAGAACUGCCUUCGAUACUGAGAGUCUCGAGUCCGGGAGAGGUGAGUGGAACUGCGAGUGUAGAGGUGAAAUUCGUAGAUAUUCGCAAGAACACCAGUGGGCGAAGGCGGCUCACUGGCCCGGUACUGACGCUGAGGUGCGAAAGCGUGGGGAGCAAACAGG
rnacentral:rRNA from 1 species